rnacentral:rRNA from 1 species
CGCGUAGGCGGCUCGACAAGUCCCGCGUGAAAGCCCCCGGCUCAACUGGGGAACUGCGCGGGAAACUGUCGGACUUGAGUUCGGGAGAGGGAAGCGGAAUUCCGGGUGUAGCGGUGAAAUGCGUAGAUAUCCGGAGGAACACCGGUGGCGAAGGCGGCUUCCUGGACCGACACUGACGCUGAGGCGCGAAAGCUAGGGGAGCAAACG